AAGUCGAACGGUAGCAGGCCUUCGGGCGCUGACGAGUGGCGGACGGGUGAGUAACGCGUAGGAAUCUGCCUCAUAGUGGGGGACAACGUGGGGAAACUCACGCUAAUACCGCAUACGCCCUACGGGGGAAAGCGGGGGCUCUUCGGACCUCGCGCUAUGAGAUGAGCCUGCGUUAGAUUAGCUAGUUGGUAGGGUAAAGGCCUACCAAGGCGACGAUCUAUAGCUGGUCUGAGAGGACGAUCAGCCACACUGGGACUGAGACACGGCCCAGACUCCUACGGGAGGCAGCAGUGGGGAAUAUUGGACAAUGGGCGCAAGCCUGAUCCAGCAAUACCGCGUGUGUGAAGAAGGCCUUAGGGUUGUAAAGCACUUUCAAUUGGGAGGAAAACCUACCGGUCAAUACCCGGUAGCUUGACAUUACCUUUAGAAGAAGCACCGGCUAACUCCGUGCCAGCAGCCGCGGUAAUACGGAGGGUGCGAGCGUUAAUCGGAAUUACUGGGCGUAAAGCGUGCGUAGGCGGUUCGUUAAGUCAGAUGUGAAAGCCCCGGGCUCAACCUGGGAACUGCAUUUGAAACUGGCGAACUAGAGUUGAGUAGAGGGGAGUGGAAUUUCAGGUGUAGCGGUGAAAUGCGUAGAUAUCUGAAGGAACACCAGUGGCGAAGGCGACUCCCUGGACUCAAACUGACGCUGAGGUACGAAAGCGUGGGUAGCAAACAGGAUUAGAUACCCUGGUAGUC
rnacentral:rRNA from 1 species